rnacentral:lncRNA from 1 species
AACUCAGCCAACCAUUGAUGGAAAAAAACAAAACGAUUUUGGCCAGCAUGAAGACUCUAUGAAUUGUAGAGUGAACCUCAAUAAACUGAUGGCUUGGAUUGGGACUAGCGACACAGUAGAUGAAUUCCUAGAGACCCCUUCCACUUUGUAAGAGGGUAUGUCCCUAUUCCGCGACCUGUUCUCUAAGAUGAGGUAGCGUUUUGAAACUUAAUUUGUGAAUUUUAUUUCCACGAUAAUUCAAUUAUGAGUGAUUUUAAAAUUAAAUUUCUUUUAUAUAGGUUACAAACAAACCAGUUGAUCAAGUGUCAUAGGAAACACA